CCCUAUAGCUCAAAUGGUAAAGAAUCUGCCUGCAAUGCAGGAGACCAGGGUUCGAUCCCUGUGUCAGGA
rnacentral:tRNA from 1 species